GGCGAUAAGUCAGAGGAAGGUGCGGUCAACGUUAGGUCAGUAUGGUCCGANUCUUCUGGGCUACACGUGGGCGGCAAUGAUAGGGACAAUUGGUUGCGACACCGAAAGGUGAAGCUAAUCCCCUAAACCCUAUCUCAGUACGGAUUGAGGGUUGCAACUCACCCUCAUGAUGGCGGAAUCCCUAGUAGUCGAGUAUUAGCACUGCUCGGCGAAUACGUCCCUGCUCCUUGCACACACCGCCCGUCAAACCACCUGAAUUGAUUUUAGAUGAGGGUCUUUCGCUGAAAGAUUCGAAUCUGAUUUCGGUAAGGGGGGUUAAGUCGUAACAAGGUAACC
rnacentral:rRNA from 1 species